GCGAGGCGUGAGAAUUUGGCGGAUUAGGUAAAGAAAUGUAAGUGACCUAAGACACAAACAAGUUGUGGAGGGAGGUGCUGGGUUCCCCAUUAAGGAAGUGAUCGAAAACUCUUGGGAGAAGUUUCCUUUAAGUGACCCAAACCAAACGCACAACAAAAUGUAAGACUUAGUUGGGUGUAAGUUUCUUAAUAAGGAAAUGCCACUGAGGGAGUGCCACUGCAUAAUUUUCUGAGCAAAGUGAUCCCUAAAUAGAACUAAGCUCAGGUGUGUCGCAGUCAAAUUCCUCAAGGAAAAGGCACUGCAUAAUUUGGUGACCCAAACCCAAACAGAGCAACAAAGGACACAGUUUGUUUGCCAACUUGAAAUCUAGCUCAAGUGACCCAAAUCCCUUAAGGGAAAUGCUGUUCCAACUAAGGACAGACUGCCACUGGUGACCCCCACAACGAAACAUUAUUUCAAUCGACAAUCUAGAGAGGUGUAGGUAGAGGUCCCCUUUGGUUAACUCGGUGCAAACAUUGGCCUAGUGCCUAUGGCUAUCAAUCAUCGGCCCAAGGCUGUUAACAUUGGCGACAACUUCUGCGAUUGUCACUACCAGGAAGCAAUGACCAAGCAAAGACCACCAGAGGCGAGACUUCGACUCCGACUCGGACUCGGACUCCCCAUGCCCUCAGAGACUAGACCAGAGACCAGCCAGACAGACUGCGACACUGGACACUGGACUGUUGGACCAUGUAAUUAACGGCACGCAAAAAGUGUUUGUAAAGCAUUUAUGGGAUGUAUGACGGGGUUGGGGAUGUAACUGGUGGACAGGGACACAGGGACAGGGGAUCCUCUCUAGUAUAGCCAUUGGAUAUGGGUGUCCCAUUGGCUAAAGGCGACACGCAUGUAAACAUUACCAUUUUUGGCUAAAGACGCGACAGCUGCUGGGACAUUGGACUGUCUACGCAGUUGCCUUCCCGGUUGGCUAGAUGGAUGGAUGGCUGGCUGGACUUCGACUUCGACUUCACUUCAGCAUCUACUGGCACUCCACUCUCCAAUCUCCAAUCUGGGUGGCCGUCAGUGGUGCUCUGACGUUCGUAAUUGAGUUACAAAAAGGUCAAUCGAUCGACGGUGAUGUGGAGUGUCAGUGCUCGACUUUAAUUUAUUUUAUAAUUACACGCACUUUAUGCCUAAUUAGUUUUGUUUUUAUAUUCCCGCUCUAUACAUCUGUCCUCCUGUCUUGUCUCUUCUCUCAGGUUGCUGCCUGGUUCAGUAUCUGUGUCUGUGUCUGCGUCCGCGGGUCGGAGCCACAAAAAAGUUUCCCAUCAUUUGGCUUCCAUUAUGCAGCGUUCGCGGCCACCGAAUUCCUAAGGUGCGCGCGAAUGGGCGUCAGGUUUGCAAAAAGAAAAGAAAGAAAGAAAGAAAGAGAAGAAAAAAUAAGUUAAAGCCGAAGAGGUAGAUACCCUCGUAGACACGUUGUUUUUAUGGGAAUAAUUAUUAUUAUUUACAGCAUGAAGAAAAUAAGUUUCCCGGAGAGUGGGUUAUCGCUCUCUACCAGUGAGACUCGCAUUUUGAAUGUCCUCUCAUUUAAGUAACAAAAUUAUUCAAAAUGCGCAAACAUCUUGUAAAAGUCAAAGUACUCCUUUGAAGCCAUACACAAAUAUUCCCUUCGAACAAAGGAGUAAGGCUGACUGAGGACAGUGGUGCACACAGCAAAGUGUGGAGUGUAGAGAGGGUGCGCCUGGGUGCCCACUACAAUUCCCAGUCAACGGAUGCGAGUGUUCCCAGUCCUCCGCCUCCUCCUCCUUGUAGUAGUUUCCUCAUUUAGUGUGCCUGCCCCCGUCCCUGUCUUCGUCCUCGCCUUGUACCGUUUUGAAUCCAGAUUGAGGAGUACGUACGAGUGGACUGGAGCGAUCAUCUCAUCGGGGCGCUUUUGUGGCCGCGUCUUCGUCUUCAUCGCUACAUCAACGCACUCCUUUGUUUGCCCGGGCCCUUUAGCCUGACCCUAGUGCUCUCUCUCUAUCUCUCCCGCUUCUCUCCGUUCGCCUGCGUCUCUCCCCACCCCUCACUCGCUGAUCUCCUGAGCUCCGCUCGCUGACUGAGUGAGUCGGUCGGUGCGCCAACUUUGUUUAAGUUUGCGUUGGCUUAUUGUUUGCUGUUCUUUUUUUACUCUUUAUUUUUGUCUUAUUGCUCUUGUGUUGUUGCUGUUCCUGUUGUUGGUUUUGUGUGCUGAUGCCCUUGCCGAAAAUGAAAGAGGAAAUUAUGGGGUAUUAUGAAUGAGUUAGAGACUUGGGAGCGCCAAUUGAACAAUUAUUUUAGUACAAACUGUUAGAUUAUAAAUUAUCCCCACAAUAUUUUAAGUAGUUCCCGAUAAGGAGAUAUUUCAUUUCAUCAGAAAAAGAGGAAUGAAGAGAGAUCUGUGUUUGAAUACACUUAAACUUCACUCAAUAUUUCCCUUUACCACCAAAAAGGGUAUCCACGAAUAGCUCUCAACUUAAGCGAAUGUGUUUGGUUGGUUGGUGGGUGCGAUUUGAUAAUACAACUUUAAAAGCGCAGGGCUGGACAUCCUUACCCCCAAUUAUGUGAAGAUGAAAGGAACUGCUUUACGCCGGAGACACACCCUCUCCGAGACAACAACUUGACUACAGGAAGUUUCGCAUAUCUGCCACAACAAAAGAUCAUAUCCAGGGAACGGACUCACCGAAACCAUAUCUACAAUAUAAGCACACAAAAUAUACGAGUGUACGCGAAAGUAUAUAUAAAUCCGAUCCAUCUUGCAACUUCCUUUGGGGGCAGCACUUGAGACAGUUUUUUGUUGCACUUGUACAAGAAAAUGAGGCAGAAGACGAUGAAACUUGGCGGCAUCUUCUCAGUGCACCUUGAUUGUGAGAAAGAUACCGAAAGCAACAACAACCAGCAGCAGGCAUCAGGCAGAAGGCAGCAGAAACCGAAGGCAAACAAUGAGAAGGCCGCAGGAAUUCCUCGACAGAGAUUAAGCCAGAGGAUCGGAGGCAACGGAGAGAGGGAUUGGAGAGACAGAGAGGAAGAGAGAGGAAGAGAGAGGAUGGUGCUCCAAACAGGUGCUGAGCAAAUGGCAAACUAUGCCACAAGGUAUUGGGGCAAUUAGUGCUCAACUAAUUGAUUUAAGGCAUUUCCUUUCUGUCCCCAUGCCAGCGAUGCAAGAGGAUGGAGGAGGAGGAUGGAAGAUGGAGGCGGAGAGGCAGAACGAUUUCCGCAUGAGACAAAAGUCGUCUCCUUGUCUCGAGUGGAACGUCUUUUCCAGGCAUCUAUGGCAUUUGGACAUCACAUCGCUUUAUCGCAAUUCUCAUACUCCUUCUCUCUCUCUCUCUCUCUUUACCUCUCUCUCUCUCGAUAUAUAUCUGGCUCCCUCUCUUUCUCUGGGGAGGCAAUUAAAAGCGUCUCCGCACUGAUUGCAACAAUUUCAGGUUAAAUAAAUGGAACGAACAGCGCUCAACAACGACGAUAUCUCUAAGCUGGAGCUAGCUCCAGGAGCACUGCUCCUCCAGCCUCCGAUGCUGCAGAGUUGGCCAUGGAGCUCCUCAUCCUGUGGCUUCAUCUUCAUUUCCAUGGUCCCCGACCUGAAAGUAUUUAGUUUCAAUUUGUUGCUUUGUUAGUGCGUGUUUCGAGAUUUUUCAUUUCUCUGCUUUAUUUUUGUCGUUGGAGUGGCGAACUAGAGAUGAGUGAGAGAGUGUCAUGUGAUUGUGUGAAGAGUAAGUUCGGGCCAAGACUCCUCAUAUAAAUAGUAUUCUCAAACCUACACCCUUCGAUAUUCCACUCCCAUUUUCCUAUUCCCGUGUCACGUUGACAUCUUUAGCUGUGGAGUAGGGAACCUGCUUCCAGUCUCCUUACAUCGCCUCACUCCCAUGUGAACCCACAACGCUGAUUAAUUUUUGCGCUAUUUACACGCUCGUUUGCCCGUUGUGCUCCACUGUGUGUGCCUCAGUUGAUGCCUUUUAGCUGCAGCUUUAAUUUUGCAAAAUUAGUCACGCGAUUUUUAUGUACUCUCCAAAACGGGAGGAGAGGCGCUGCAAAGAGUACUUCGCAACCUCAAAUAGGAGGUGGAAGGCAGUCAGGCAGCAGGCAGGCAGGUUAACUAGUCGGAGCUCCAGUCAGAUGACAAAUGAUUUUAUUAGCUUAGUUGAGUUAAUCAAUGUUGAUGGUAUUUAUUAAUUAUGUUGUGGGCCUUCUUGUGUCUUGUGUCUUGCUGCUCGUUUGGCUGGACCGACUUGGGUUAUUCGAUCGCCGAUCCUCGAUCGCACAUGACGUUCGAUGGAGGAAGGAAGUGAACGACGACAUGCAGCUAUGUGGAUGUGCUUCGAUGUGUGCUUUGGUCUAGGGUUGGAGGCAGCUCUGCUCUGCUCUGGUCUCUGGUCUCUGGUCUGCAAAUAUUUGCUUGGUUGGUGGUGGCGCAUCGAAUCCGUAUGCCAAAUUCAAGGCAAAAGUCAAAUUACACGCGCCGACCAAAUUGAGUUCAAUAAUAAGCAUGAAGGAAGGAACAGACCACAAGACUGGACCUCAGUCAUCGUCACGAAACGUCUUCAUUCGCCUUGGUUCCCCAGAGAUACUCUCAAUACACAGAUAGAUAGAGAGAGGAGAGACCUCCGGAUGCGCCUCCGACUCUUAUGGCUUAAGCGACUGCACCCGAUAGUAGUCAUCAAAAUACACAGACAGACACAGCAGAUAUCCAAAGUGCCCUCAGGCCAAAGGGAUCGGGAGACUGCCGACUGGACCCUGGUCUUGGCUUGGUGUUGGUCUUGGAGUGGUUUUCCAACUCCCAGGUAGUCACGGCUCCAGUCACGGGUGGGCGACCAUAUGCAAAGGCUUCCUCCCUCUCCCUCUCCCUCUCUCACUCCCUCACUCGAUGGCAAUUUAACACACUUUGGCGCGUGAAUUAAGGCCAAUUUGGGAAUUAAGUAAUCUGGCUUUAGCCCUCUUCCGCUGGCUGCAGUUUGCUUGCGUGAUGGGAUGGCCCAAAAGUUUAUUAGUGACACUUUGCAGAUUGCACAAAUAAAUAUAUUGAAGUACUGGGGAUGUGCUAGUAUCAAUCUGGGCCUUGGUUAAUGAGAGAAUUUGUUUGAUACGAGUGAGGCCCCUGAAAUGUACAUGUGUGCAUAUCUAUGUGCAGUGUGUGGCACUUCUUGUAAUGUUCAGAGAAUCCUUAAGGUAUGCAAUACGUUUACAAGUACUCUACAACAUUCCGAGUUGUUUGUUGAAUAUUUAAGAUACGAUCCGCCAAUAUUAACACAUCAUACUCCCUGUCAACAACUUCCUGCUACCAUCAAAGACUUUCAUGUCAAGGUCAGAGCAUGAAAUGACUUCAUCCAAAGCCCAACGAUUGACAAAAUGUAACAAGAACCAGUCGAUGGCCCAAAAGAAUAAGUUUCUGUUAAUGAGAAAUGUCGGUUGUCAGUUUUAGUUGAGUUUUCUUCGGCUGCCGUUCCCCUGUUCUUCAGGAGAUGAUGUCUGGGUCUGGGUCUGGGUCUGUGUCUGGGGUCUGGUCUGUCAGAGUAAAGCUCAUUUCGCUAAUCGCAUCAAUAAAGCUUAUCAAGCUCACCAGAAACAGAAACAGAAACUGAAAGGAGCACCAAGAGCAAGAGCAGCCAAAUUAAAUGCCCUCAAAUGUCGUCGUCGUCGUCAUCGCAAAAUGCGCUUAAGCGUGUUGAUCGAUAAAUUGGCACAAAUCGGAGGAGAUCGAGGAUCCCCCGAUCAGUUGGAGGAUCGGUGAUGAGGAGCCAAGUAUAUCCACUCAAGACAAAACGCACACAAAAUGCGGAAUGAAGUCAUCUGCCAGAGGAGCCAAGUCGCUUUGUCAACCGAUUUCGCGUGUAGUUCGAGGCCUAAUCUGACAGUGGAUCGCCAUCGCCAUCGCCCUAGCUUCAGGUCUGAGUUUCAGUCUGAGGGUUGAGGUUCAAAAUCACAUCACAGAUUCCAGGUUCCCGGUCCAGCCACUGGGGCCCUUUAUUUUUCGUCGGUCACACCGCCACCGACAGCUGAGCGACAUUAAUGCCUCCUGGCAGUCGCCCUGCACAGAUUAGCAAAAAUGUCGAACUGCCGGUUUGGCUUCAACCUUCUUCCUCUUGCUCUCUGCUUUUAUUUUGUUUUUUUUUUUGUUGGGCUAUCUCUGUGAUCUCUGAUCGCUUAUGAUCGCGCUUAUGUUUCUAUGAUUCAGCACCCCGAUUGGUAGCCAUCCAUCCAUCCAUCCAACCAUUCAGGCAAACCAUUCGGUUGUGCUUUAUAUUCCAAUCGCCCUUCGUCUCAUUUCGCUUUGAAUUUGCUGUCUUUUUGUCUGCGAUUUAAUUUUGUUUGCGGUUUUUGGCUCUCGGCUCUCGGCCGCGCAUCAUAAUGUUUUUGCGCAUGGCAGAUCUAAUCUUUGUCCGAAUAAAAAAGGGUUCCGGCGGCGCAUUUUUCGACAUUUUUAUGGGGAAAUUAUUGUAACCCAAUCUCGUUUGGGCGCACCACAGAAACCUCGCAUUGCAUUUUGUCCUAACGUUGACGUCUUGCGGUUAACAUUACUCUCCCUCCUCCUUCUCUGUCUCUCAUCAAGGCAAAUUCGCACUGACAAAUGCAUUGAGCAUGGCGAUCCGACUGGGAGGGAUAUUUCGAUUGGAUUGUAUCUGGAGCGUGGCAAGAGAUAUUGGUGGUAUAUGAAGAUGACGAAUAAGAUUUAUAUUUACUAAUACUAUUAAAAUAUCUUCAUAUCUUCAGCAGUCUAAAUGUGUUGUAUAUUUUUCCAUUCGGUAAUCAAAUGACACAGAGGGAAACUUGGACAAGAAUGGCAUUUGUAUUAGGUGCCUUGGCCAUUAUUUAACCUUCCUGAAGAGCACAAAUUGUGGUUGUAAUUAUCAUUCAUAUUAAUGAAUAUUUACUGCCAAUUUUAAUACUUUCAUAUCCUUGAGAACAAAUCCUAAUUUACGAUUAUCCAAGCUUAAAUAUAACUUUAAUUCCCACUGAUUCUGAUUGAUUAAACAUUAAGUAUACCUAACCGUUUUGACCUUUAUAUUCCGCUUUAAUCCACUCUCCCUUGGGGAGGUCUCUCGCCAUAGGUUUCUUCCGAUGCGUCACAGCAGUAGGCGUUGACUCACUUCGUUACAAUUUCAAGAAUUCACGAAAUUCGAUUUAGUUUCUCUGCGCCCUUGAAUUUCAGAGCCUCUGACUAAUACUUCCUUCCGUUGGAGGGAGACAGACCGCCCCAGAGCACAGCUGUAACUAAUUGACGAUACGAGGGAGUUGAGUUUGGGGAUCGGGCCGCCAAAGUAGAGCAGAGCAGCACACGCUCGAAGCGCUCCAAAGCGGCAUUCAAAAAGGCCGCAAACACAUGUAAAACUCAAAUGGCAACAUGCCACACGCACCAAGCGCUAAAACUUGGAAGAUCAUCGGCGUCGGAGUCGGACUCGGACUCGGAGUCGGAGUCGGAGGGAGUCAGAAGUCAGAAGUCCGAGUCGCAGAGUUGGAGAAGCGUUGCCAAAAAAGGCAAAAGACCGACAAACGAUGAGCCGCGGACCGACUCCGACCGCAAAGCCACAACAGAAGCUCAAACAAAUACAUAAAUACAUAUGUACAUAUGUAUAUGUAUAUCUUCUGUUCUUUUUUUGGUAAUAGUUUGUUGGUGUUAUAUGUAGGUAUUCCCAUUGUUGCCUGCUCGCUCUCUCGACUGACGUUCAGUCAUAAAAUAUUCCGUUUUAUUUGUAUCUGUUUGUGUCUGUCUGUCUGUGUGUUUCCUCGGUUGCCCCUUUUUUAGGCUCUUCUCAUAUUUGUUGUAUGUGAAACAAUUUUUCACACAACCUUCAAUUUGUUGGGCCGGCUCCCAAGCAAUACUGACAGACAUAUAUUUUGUUUCCGGAGCACACCUUGCGUGUGUGGUCUCUGGUCUCUUAAUUUGCCUGCCCGAUGCCCAGGGAAUCCGAAUCAGAAAUCUAAAAUCCAAAUUCAGAGUAUGAAAUGAAACUCAAUUAAGCCGCCGCUCGUCCGUUAGACAAAACGCCGCGUGUCAAAACAAACGUUACCCAAAACAGACCUUAACAUACACACAUAUCUACAUCUACAAAUACAUCUACAACUACAUCUACAUCUUUAUGUGUGUGAUCAUGAGGCUGGCAGCCAGUCCAUUUCCAUUUUCAUUUCGUUUUCGAUUUCAGUCGCGCAGAGAGGUGGAAUGGCCCGACUGUGGGGCCGUUGAUGUCAUAAUUCAUGUAUAUUAACUCAUAAAUAAACGAAUGCAACUUCAUGCUAUCGUUUCAACUUCCAACCCAAACUCCCAGUCCUAGACGUUGUCCUAGUCCUUUCCCAUCCCAUCCCAUCCCAUCCACUGUCUGCAACUCUGUCUGCAGCUCUGUGUCUCACUGUGAAGUCUCAAGUCUGGGGUCGGUCUCUGUCUGCGGCGAUCGGCGGGAGUCAAAUCGUUUCUUUCUCCAUCUGCGGGUAUGUACGUAUCUCUCCGCUAGGCAAGGUUGGUAUUUAGUGCACUUAAUCUACGCCAAAAUACCAACUAAGCGAGAUAAAUAGCUGCGAAAUAAACUAAGUCAGCGCGGAGUCAGCGCUCUGGCGCUCCACUCUGCUCUUUGGCAUGGGAUGUGGUUGGGGAUGGACUUGUGGUUGGACUUGGGCUUUGGUUCGGGUUCGGGUUCGGGAGAUGGUACUCGUACUGUGUCCAGUACCAGUGAAAAUGGCUAUAAAAUCGGCACGACUUUUCAAUAAAUGUUGACAACACAGCCAGCCACAACGCAAUGCGCCAAGUUUUAUGAUAUCCUGAAGGAAGUGAAAUAUGAUAUUAUGAAUCGCCCGCUCGGACAGUUGGGACAGUUUCUUCUGCUCUCUCCCUCCAUGUCUUUCUAGAUGGACUUUCAGCUGGAAUCGGCGUUGGAGUUGGAGGUACUUGAACUGUCUCUCUCUCUCUCUCUCCCUCCUGUUGUUGUUGCUGCUCAACUCUGUGGAAACCUGUUGCCAUUGCCGUUGUUGUCUUUGUCGUUGUCGUUGUCGUUUUCGUUGUUGUCGCUGAUGUUGUGUACGAGUAUUAUGGGUUUGCGGUUUGUCAUGUUAAAGUUAAAUGCAUGCAGCACAUGCCCUGCAUUCGGCGCUGAGUGCCAUUGACAGCCAACAGCAACAAGAACAACAGCAGCAAGUUGACGUCUCUGCCCCGAGUUGGCCUCUUGCUGCCGCUUCUGCUUAAUCAGGUUAAAAACCGUUGAGUAAUUAUCGAUGUAAUCAAAUCUCUAAAACAUAGCAAAAUAAAGGGGCUUGGACAUGCUACAAAAAUAGUCCCCAAAGUGGAAUGAACCUUCUGGAAAAGUCUUGAGUUCAAAGGCACAAUCUGUUGGGUUGAGUCUCCAAUCCAUUAAUGGAGAACUUUCCAGCAAAAAGAUAUCUGCUGGAGGAAGAACAAACCUUCCACGAAUCAUACUUUCAUCUCAAGAAACACUAAAAAACUUAAUCAAAUAUUAGCCGAAAAUAAUAAACAGAACCUUCUGUUGUUAACCAAGACUUUAUCUUCUCGUGAACGCGACAUAUUUCAAGGAAAUUCUAAAUUAGUGUCGCUGCUGAUUCACAGAAAUCUGCUGCCGUGUGGCUAUCACGGCGUAUGAGCAAUGUAUAAUGGUGUAUGGACCCAACGCGCGUUCGCCAUAAACUCACAAUGCGCAUACGCAAUAUCGUCUGAGGCAUACACACAUUUAUACACAAUAUACUGUAUGCAUUCGGAUGGAUAUAUACAGUAAAUUUGUUCACAAUUGCCAAGCGGCAAAGUUGCUAUAAAUUUCUACAUGUUUUUCCCGAAAAUUUUCCAUUUUCCAUUUGAAAUCCAAUUGGCCAAUUGACCGUGCAACAAGGCAGCCAGCCGCCUUGAGGGCCAAUAAAUUUGCAAUUUAAUGAACUUCGGUGCAUAAAUAUUAAAAUAAAUUUCGGCAUUGGCCCCGUCCACUAAGGCAACUAAACUAAACAGCCAAACUAAUGCUAGAUAAACAAAACGUUAACAAUAAUUAUAAUUGCCCAUUUUGUCGAUCAUAAUUUGUGGGCGCCGUGGCGGGCAGGAAGAGCUCUGGUCGAGACCAAAGCAAAUUAAUGGACUGACAAAAUACAAACAAAAGUGCACUUACGGGAUUGGCUUGUGGUGUAAUGGAAUGGAUCUGUACAGAAAGCAAGGUGGGGAAAGGCACCCUGUUUUGGAAGCGGCACUCUAUUGUAUUGCCUCAUUCAUACUCUGGUAUGAAAAGAAAAUCGAAAGACUAGUGGAAUAUUCAGUUCUCACAGCUUCAGAAGCUGUGGACAUACUCGAGAAAAGGGACUCGAUAAACCCAAAAGAUUCAUCUAUGUAUCUACUAUAGAAUUAGCUAGUUCUUCGAUAUUUUAUAAGUAUAAGAUAUGAUUUAAAAAUAAAAAAUGUAAAUAAAUAAAGUACACCCUUGGAAAUAUUUCAAUGUCUUACAAUUUAUUUUAACAUUAAUUUGCAGAUCUAAAUCAAAAUGCCUUGAAUAUUCGAAAGCAGCUGCGACAUUCUUAACUGGAACGAUCCGUGACAGGUAAAUUUUUAUUAAUUUUAUACCCAUCGUCACCGUGGUGGGUGCAAAAAAGUAAUUUGUUUUAAUUUGUUUAAUCGCUUAAUCCGCAACAGAAAGUCGAACAGUCGGACAGUCGAACACUCGGACACUUCUCAGGGCGCAGGAAGAUCAGAGUGAGAGAGGUGGAAACCUGUUUGGCAAAUUAUACAGACCUCCGAUCUGUGUGUGAUCUCUGGUGGUCCUUUGGCAAGGCUGCCUGCCCAUUGUUUUUGAUCGGCCGCUGAGCCCCAACUUCGGCUUCAGCUUCAGCUUUAACACUAAGACCAAUUUAUGAUGAGGCUGAACGGCAGAGUCCGCUUUGGAUGUGGCUUAAUUAAGCUUUGGCACUUAUUUUUUGGUAGGUGAUCAAGAUGGGAAAUGGCAAUGGCAAUGGGUUUACCAAAAUAUAUAUAGUAGUCGAAUGGAUGUUGAAAUCAAUUUUUUAAAAGAGUUUUGAAGCAGAAUGUAUACAGUGAGUGAGCAGCUGACAAAAUGUGCAUAAAUCUUGUUUAGUACACCGCCGCUUCUGAUGCUGACUGUUCAUUUCAACACGCCUGUCAACACACACACACACACACACACACACUCAUAGAUACUCACACACUCACACUCAGGCACACACACACGAAUACCUCUUUAAAGACUCUUCUUCGGGGGCUGGCUAGUAAAUCAACUGAAUCGCUCGUAAAAAAGCCAAGCAGUUGACUGGAAAUAUAUAUUUAAUUUUUGUGUCUGUUUUUUUCUACCUUUUGGUAUUUAUUUUUAAUUGUUUGGGCAACAAUGGGUGGUAAAAGUGGUAAAUAAAUAAUAAUAAGA
rnacentral:lncRNA from 1 species